rnacentral:pre_miRNA from 13 species
UGGCUUCAGCGUCACUCGGUACCUGAAGAGAGGUUGUCUGUGAUGAGUUCGCUUUAUUAAUGACGAAUAUAACACAGAUGGCCUGUCUUCAGUACUGCCUUGCCCGCGGCAGAGCG